ACCGGGCCAAUUGGGCCCUAUUGAUUGGGCCGUGCCCAACCGUAGCACUAGCAGUAGGCUGCCUGAACCAUCAUCGCCGUCGUCGGCGACCGCCCGCUCGCUAUCGAGGUCGCCGGCUCGCGCCGCCGCCGCCAUGCGAGAGCUUCCCUUCGCCGCCCGACGAGAUGUAUGACUAGGAUUGCUGAAGAGAGGUUUGACAGAUCUGUAACAGAUUCACCUGCAUGCCUAGCAUUGACCGACUGAAAUAGAGCGGAUACUAUCUUUUGAUAGUUGCUCAUUCCAUCCAAAGCUACCGAGCUCCACUCCAAAGAGAGGAACAAUACGGUUUGCAGAAUGAUCAAGCUCACAACUGUUAAAGUCAAAUAAACACUUUCCCUGGUACUCAUAAGAUGUUUAUAUCCAAUGGCCUUUGGAUAUUCAAGAAUGUAACGACAAUCCUUUUUUCCGGUAAUCUUCUCAAGUGACCACACCAUUAAUCUCAAGCAUGGUGCAAAUAAUGUAUUUCCUGCUAGUAUCUGAGGAAGAAUUAGCAAUAGAAGAAUGGAGUUCUUCUGAAAGAUAAUCAUAUUCUCAUUUACUGGAGUGAAGCCACAAUUUCCAACUGAGGAGAUGGCUGUAAAUACUGAGAAUACGAUGAUCCCAAUGCCUUUUCUCUUUAGAAUUUUAUGUGCACUUGGUACCAGGUUAAGGUAGAGGUAAAUAAGUAGGGAGCCGCCUAAGUUUGUUAUUAGAAGAUAUCCCAUCACUACAAAACCUAAAAAUUUAAUCGUCUUGGGCUCUACAUGUCCUCCAUUUUCCAUGCGGAGUUCAGAAAAUGAAACUGUAACUUUUGUGCCCUGGGUGCUGGGACCAAAUUUUGUGGAAGUAAUAGACUCAAUAUCAAUGCAAGGUGAGUGAUCCCUUGUGCUGACUGACUCUUUUGUACCAAAUUCGGCUCUCAUAAAGUGAAUGCCAAGCAUUGAAGUGAAUACCUCACCACCAAUCAGCAUUAAAAUAGUCAAAACCCAGAGUUGAGCGCUUGAGAAAUCCUCCAUUUCAACAGUAGCCAUGCUUGAAACAGUUGAUGCAGAUACGGAAGUAAAUAGCACGUCCAAGUCUUUCAGAGUAUUUGACUUGUCUCGUGGCUUGAGGACCUUUAGAGAUCCAUAUCCAGCAAAGGAGAUCAGGGCAAAGUAAGCUACAUGGACAAAGAGUGGAUUGUUUUGGUAGAUGAACUGGAAGGAGUAUUUUAUAGACUUCUGUGCAGAUUUGGUAAAAGAAGAGAACUUGCUAGCUGCAAAUGUGCGGAAAGUUUGGAGUUUUUUGUGGGAUACUACAAGACAAUGAUUCAUUUUCUAACUAUUUGUGUGGAGCUAAACAGCAUGUAUUGGGUGCUUCCUUAUUUGCAUCAAUGUACUGAUGUUUGUCCAUUUAUAUAGGGAAAAAAAUAUUCUCCUCUCCAACUUAUACUUGUGAUGUUCGUACAUAUAAUCUCUGCUGUAGAACAAAAGCAAUCAGCAUCAAAGAGUUAGUGGUGAACUUACUGGACAACAAUGACAGAAGAAUCAAAGAGUGCUUUGGAUUCCAUAUAGCUUAUGUGAAUGUAAAUGAAGUGCUGAAGGAUUUAUUCUCUACUGCGAUUGUGGCAAAUAACAGUCUGUUCUGAAAAGAUUAUACAGGUUAGUGAAAAAUGCAGAACAAAGAAUUAGCACCCCGAAUGCAAUGAUAUUUCAGUAUGUGCUUUUCAUUAGGCUGCCUUCUGAUGAAAUAUAUGCUUUUUUUUUUGAGAAUUACACAGUACAAUGCUGACACUCACAACGCACGCACACUUAUGCUUUCUUUGAUCUGUGAGUUUCAGCAUGUUGGACAUGCACUGCUUUCAAGAGUUCGAAUUCAGUUAGAAAGCUAAUAUGUUCUCAGCAACUGAUCACUAGUGAUGUACUUUUGCUUGACUACCCUAAAAUUGUACCUUGAAUAUUGCACCUCAUGCCAUUUCAGGAUGUGGGCAUUAUUGUUGUUAAGCCUCUACUUUAAUAUAUUGUCUUGAAUAUAUGGUUUCGAAGCAUGAAAUGAAAAGAUAUGAGUAAAAAUUUCAAUCAAACUACAUUUUAAAAUCUCUUUUCAAGUAAACAAUUUCAGUGGUCAAAGCGGCAUUUGUUGACUUUGAAUUGAAAAAAAUUGACUUGUUUUUGAUAGGAGGGAAAUAGGGGAAUUCUAGAACUGAACAGUCAAUACAUGAAAUAUUUUUUGCAUAAGUUUUAUUGGCGUUAGAUCCAAUUAGAGCAUUAAAUUUUACAAAAUUGAAUCGGUGAGAUGAUUUGGUCAUAAACUCAUAAUGUACUGCAAGUCUGUUUUAGAGAGAUACAAUGCUAUAUGCGAGAAGAGGUUUACCUGUUCCAUUUUACUCAGAGUAAUUUAUUCCAUCUUAAUAUCUGUAACUAUGCAUAUACAGUUGCAAGCGGUUACUCUUAUGAAAUAUGGGUUUGAAAGCCUAUUUUUGCUAUCCUAAUUGAUACUCCCUCUGUUCUUUUAUGUAUGACGUUGGUUAGUUCAAUUUUGAAAUAAUCAAUGUCAUAUAUUAAAGGACGGAAGUAGUAUUAGAAACUACUAGAAUCACGUCUUUGGUUACUAAAUAAUAUGCUAAUAUUUGUCUCCCUACAAACAGUGUUUUCUUUCCCUUUUUCUUGAAGGUAAAGUCUGACAUUUUGUUCUGGAACACAAAAUUAGCCCAAUAAGCUUGGUGUAUUGAAGAAGUUAAAGACAAGAUCUACUGAACAUAUUUGAGCUAUUCUAUGAUUGCUAUUAAUCUAGUUGGUUAGUGUUUGGCCAAUGGACCAUUCCAGAUUAAAUGCCUAAUAAGACUUGUAUGGUCCUUCUUAUCUUAUGCUGUUCUACAAGAGCGGUGCAAAUACCAGUUGGCUUGCUUAAAUUACUGGCUGAAGUGGUUAUGGUCUAGAUCUACUCUACGAGAACCUUUGAACUAGAUUCUUGAGGCACCUCUUGAGAAAAGACGAUGGUGUCUUUCUAUUAUUAGUCCAACAGAAGAAUAUUGAGCUUUCUGCAUCCUAUCUUUAAAGAUUGUGAACAUAUGAUCAUUGCCAUCCUUUAGACGAUCAUAUCAUCUUAUUUUGUGUUUUAUAAACACCAUUUUUUUGGCCCUUUUAGAAGAUGAAAAAGAUUCAGCUGGGAAUACUUGGAUAGGUUCAGAGAGAUGUUGUGCAUGAGGGUGAGCUCUUGAUCCAAAGCCCAACCCCUGGCAUAAGAGGGUGAAAAAAACCCUUGUAAAACAUAUUGAGAAGAACUUAUGUCUGUGCCAAAAGUUUUAAAAGAUUGAUUGAGAGUUAGGUCAGGGUUAGCUGUAGAGUUUGUGCCCACCAAAUCUAAUACCACUAUUUUUGCUAGCACCUUUUUGCUGGAAGUAGUAUUCUCAACAGCUUACCCGAGUGCAUUAGAACCUUCACCACCCCUCUGUUCCCAAGUACUAUUUGUUACCAUUGACUGGUUAGGUUAUAAUGAAUGAAAGCUAAUGUUUAUGUUUAGGAUGCAACACAAUUUGAUAACACAACAUCUUUUUGAGUAUUUAUAAUUUUUUUUUCCAAAAUACAAGUGAUCAAAGUUUAAAUAUGAAUGGUGUCCGCUGACAAGUAUUUGGGAACGGAGGGAGUACUAUAUUUUGGGAACUCUACUAGACCUAUCUAUGCUAACUUAGGCUCAGCAACGUUAAGCUCAAUCUUGCAUGGAUUUCUAGCCUAGGCUGUACCUGAUUCAAUAGGACACUUGGACUGCCAGAUCAGACCAGAGCUGGCGACCCUUUGGGAUACUUUUGGACUGGCUUUCAGACCAGAGAUGCGCCCAUAGACAGUGGCUGGGAUGGCUGGCAUGCACCUCAUCAGCCCGGGGUACGAGUCUCCUCAAGCACGCUCACCAUUUCACCUUGUUUGAUAUGCUGGUAUGAAAUAUAUUGUUGCUUCUUUCUUAAAACCAUUGACACCAAGCCCUUCCUUGGUGUCCAUCUUUAAGCUGGACCCAAGUCUUGAUCUGAUCUGGUUACAAUACAUUGUUAGAACUGAAUCCUGGACAUCAUCCUGGUCUUAGACUUCAGAGCUGAAAUUCUUAGGGAUAAACUAUUCUCAGUAGUUUUGUCCUGGUAAUUUUGAAUCUAUUUUAGUAUUAUAUACUACAUCACAUAAUCUAUGAAGGAUUCACCUGUAUGGGUUCUGCCAUCACAAGUACAGUAAUUGUUGAAAAUUUACUCAGUAUGAAACAUGGCAUAUGUUCUUAGACACCUCAUUAUUUAUUUUUAGUAAACCUUGUUUUUGUCCAUGAAUUAACAUUUUUUAGGGGUUGCUUAAAUAUCAGAGCCUAUAUUUUGUCAAAUAUGUAAUUGCUUACCGCAUUUUAGAGUAAACACAAUGAAAUAAUCUUUGGAUUUUCCUAUUUACCUAAUUCCUUCUUAUUUUCUUUUAGAUGUACACGAUCUUUUCAAGUACUGUACUUUAUGUGGCUGAUGUUAUGUUUCCUUACGUGUUUUCAUUUCAUAUGGCAAUCAUGUGCAGUCCACAUGUUGGCACACUAGAAUUUCUUUACUUUUCUUAGAACAAAGGACAAAGCAUCCAAUACGACCAAAUCAGACCUUUUGGGGGCAAGAAGACUGAUGGAAUAGAUUUAAGUCUUUAAGCUUCAUCUGUUGAAUGGAUACAGAACAAAUUCUUUCAAAUGCUUUACACAGAUGCUCUAUAUUGGCAUAUAGUCUCUAUGGAGACUAGGUUAAAUAUGACCAGUAGAUUUGCAUAUCAUUUCGUUUUCCAUUCUGUGAUGAGUGGAUAUAACAACUUCCCGCAAAACUCUUAUCUUCAUUAUUUGCAGGGUAGCAUUUACAUUUUGGAUAUGCACUGCUGAUGGACUCAUCAAUCCUGAUGCUACGAUAUUGUUGAUAGGCCUGUUGUUCAAAAUACAGUGAAUUAUUCCACAAAAUAUUUGUGUUGUAAAUCUGUUUCUUAGCUCGACAAUGAAUAUUUUCUGAACAAAGUUACUGUUAGGGGGAUGUGCAUGCAAAAAAGUAAAAUAUUCAAACCAUCAUUCUGUAUCAUCAAGGUUUGUUCAUGGAUGAGUAGCUAGAAAGACUCGGUGUAUUAGUGAACUUGAAUUGUUUGAAUGCAUUGUUCCUAUUAAGAGGCUCAUCUUCCUUUAUUAGUGUUUUAGUUUUGUACGCCUUCAAAUUUUAGACAGGUAGCUAUUGCUACUGGGUGACAACUGAUGUUCCUUGCAACUGAAGAACAAUGGUAGACAGGAACAGGUGUAGAUGUUCCUUGCUGCCCCCUUAUUGUAUCAGCAUCACAGAAAUGUGAAAGAUAAAAUAGCUUGUUUCCUAUACUAUGCCCACCUGAGAGGCGAGUUAAUGCGUCCUGGUAGCUCAUUUCCUUUAUUUUACAGUGUGUGACUAAGAAGAUUAACAUAUCAUGUUCUCGUUUUCAUGUAUAGGUGGUAACCAUACAAGCUGUUGUUGAAGCAUUUGCUAGUCUGCCUGAUAAUUCUAUUGCCUUCAGAAUUGAUGAUGACCACAAGUACGUCUUUAGAUAAUUUCCUCUCUGAUGUGAAUUGUGAUGCUCAAGAUGCAGAGAAGGCAGAUUGUGCCAGACUCUCCUCUUCGGUCCAUUCCAGGCUACUGUUUGCUGCUGAUCGAGUGAAUCAAAUGGUGCUCAACGUGGUCUUGAUAUGGAGUGAAUGGCCAUAGAAUCUAAUUCCACAGAUGGCAAGAUCACAUCCAAGCUUCUCGUAUUCCACCAAGAAACUAUUCCUGGGAGCAAAUUCUGUGCCAGAAUUGAAGAGCAGCCUGACGGUGCUACAUCAUGCAGUCGAUUAUUCGAUCGACUAGGCAGCUGCGACGCUGAGGGAGAAGGGCAAUGGCGCAGAGUGCGGCGAGGCCGAGUAGUCGUUGGCCUUGAGGGCUUCAGAUCCACAGUUGUCUGCAUGGUCGUCCAUUAGCAUCUGGUGGCACCUGCACUCGGAGCUGCAGAAGGCUUUCUCCCCCCUACAGGUUUGAGACAUGCACAAUGACAUGUCGAGCCCAUCAAGCCUCUUGUCACACAGGAAGCACCGGCUCAAGAAGUCAGCCGCCGGCGCCGGCUCCUCGUCGGCUUCCACAAGCCAGCCGCCGCCACCGUCGCCGAACCCAAAGUACACCCGCUUCCUCACGCUGCCGCUGGCGCCAUCGACGCCGGCGACGUGCGUGAUGACGCAAGUGUAGCUCUCAGAGAGCUCGGCCUCCUCUCUCGCGCGGCGCCGAGCCGCCGCGCCGAUGGCGAUCGGCUCGGCCUCGGUCGUCAGGCAGGCGUGGCUCAUGGCCGCGACGAUGCCAAGCCCGACGCCGGUGGCGCCGCCGUCGAAGCUGCGCCUCGGCCUCGGCUCGGGGGAGCUCACUGGCCCGAGGAAGGUGGAGAAGAGGUUGGCGAAGGACGACGAUGCCGCCGUCAGCUUGGUGAUGGAGCCGAGCCUCGCCGGCGGUGGUGCCUUCCGCUCGGUUGCCUGCUCAAGAAAGCUCAUCGUGGAAUACUAACUUUAGGUAAAUUUCUUGUCCAAGUUCAGUUUUGAUGAACACUAGCUAGUAAUCGCUAAAUUGUUCUUGUGUUCUAGAGAGAGAGAGAGGAGAGAGAGAGAGAUGCUUUAGUUAUGUAGUUGUUCUUCACUCUCUCAUCUCUCCUCUCCCCUUUGCAAUUCUUGGAGCACUUGCUUUCUCACCGAUUAAAAGAACACCAAUGGUGAGGUUUAUGGAGAGAGAGAAGAGAGAAGAGAGAGAGAGAGAGAGGAGGGAAGGAGAAGGUGGUGGCAACAUUUUAAAGGAGCAAAUGGGUGAGUGGGAGCUGGGAAUUUGGGUUUGUUAGGGAUUAAAUUAUUUAGUGGUGUUGCACAUGUGGGAGCUCUUUCUGUGGAGGUUUUUAUUUCUUGAUAUUUAGUGGAGAAUAUUCCACAAUAUCGAUUAUUUAUCUUAUGAGAAUCAAGGACUUGUCCUUCUUUAAGUGCAUCCGAAAAUUCUUAAAUUUUGCAUAGAUUAGAUAUGAUCGGUUGAUCGUUGUCUCUUUAUGAGGUAAGACCGUAAGAGUAUAAUCCAGCGGUCUCCACCAAAACUUUGUAAUGUAUAGUUUUAUUUUAUGAUUUUUUUUAAAAAAAACUAAUUUAUAUGAUUUGUAGUAGUUGAGUGUUGGUGAUCAAAUGUGAUUGAUGUACAAGGAAGGAGUACUGUAGCUUUGUCUGUUGAGCAUUUGGAUGUUUGUUAUGGUAGAUUGUCCGUGUACACCUAUAUAUAAUAAACAUACAAACUUGCUUUUCGGCAGUUUCGCUGAAAUUUUGUUUUGUUGCAUGUUCAUGGAAUUUUUAGCUCUGCUAUCUUUGCUUGCUUCUCUUGGGAUGAUACGAUGGAUAUUGCUCAUGCAUACGGUUACCUGCAUAAACUUGUUUGUUUGUUAUUCAGAUCAUCAGAUGCACACACGUACACACCCUUAAUUUGCGAAAUUUUAAGCGAUGAAGCAACAAGAAAAGAGUUAGUUUGCAACAUGAUUAUUAAAGCCAGUUUUUCUCUUUCUAUUAAAGCAUUUCGUUUUUUAUUUUACCUGAAUAUUUCUUUCUUUUGACAAAAUGGCUCGUGAACUUUCUAAAAGCACUAGGGCAAAUUAGGAAAACAUAUCUUGGUGUGAUCGAUCCAAUGUGGACGGCUCUCUCUGUUUCUGUGUCACGAUCGUCAUGAAAAGAAUAGAGGAAAGUUUAUUGCACAUUUGCAUGUCACUUGCAAGUGUUGUCAUCAAGCAGAAAGAAAAGGUAAAUCCUAACGCUGUAUAUAUUACAACCGGAACCCAACGCUUCAAAGUUGUAAUCAUCAUGUAUGUGCCAAUUAAACAGUAUUAUACAUGCUCCAAUUAAACAGUUUAAUUAAAGGCACUGAUUAGAACCUUAAGAUUUUUUUUGACAGAUCUAUGCAGGUCUUGAAUUAUUCUCUACAGGAAAUUCAUGUGUUCCAAACAAACUCUGACAAUUAAGUACACGUGCAUUCAGGAUUCAGCAGCAAAAGAGUGAACCAACAUGCGCCUUGUACCACGCUCCAGCAAAGCUAAGACAGGAACAGAAUAAAGAUCGAUGGUCUCAUGAACUCGACAAUGUAAGGGCCGGAGACCACCAACUGUCCAUCACCUACAAUAUUCCCCUGUUUUUGUGGGGUUCACCUAGCAUACAAACUCUAGGAUAGCGUUCUUUGAGACCUGAAAUUUGAAAUUGCUAUAUACUUUUGUACUUAAUUUGCUCCCAUGGUGAAAUAUUUUUUUUCAAGAUAAA